UUUUGCAGUGAAUUCGGAGGCUGAGCCUUGUUAACCAAAUAAAUCGAACAUCAGCUGUGUGAUAGAGCUAUUUGGGAAGAUUCUGCCAAUUUCCUGACUCAGCUAUUCGCAGUGGCCAUUCAUCUGGGGAUGAUACCAUGAAGACAAAUUGAGAGUGAUACUCAUACGGUGGCAAAACGCUCUCCAGAAUCUUAAUGUGUACGCUGAGUUCCACCGCAUUACAAAUGUGAACCUACACAACAUGUUCUACACAGAGCUUGACCGACACACACCACGACUGAUCUACUUGAACAGGCAGAAGGUGUCACGAAUGGGCAAGACAGCAGAAGUGCUAUGGGAGAUUCAUGGGACUUAGGAUGUCCAGGAAGAACAUGAUGUCAACAUGAGAUGCACUUUGUCCCUUCGUGCACUUCCUGUCUACCUGUGCAAGGAUGACUCAGAGUUCUUCAAGACCUGCAGUGCCAGCACUGUUAAUAUUAGUACUUUUAGCAAUAUUAGUACAAUUAGUACUGUGUAAACUUACAUUUACAAGCUGAAAUGCUCCUUUCAGCAUUUUAAAUAAGAAAAAUAAUUACUGUAUAAUUAUGCUUUUUUUUGCAAAGAAGAGUUGGUGGUUGUAAUCAUUUUAUCCUUUUGACAAAUUUAAACAACCUAAGAAGUGCAGGACAAAAUCAACAGCAAUUGUCCCUUUUGGGGGGUCGCUUUGACGUUGCUAAGGAGAGAAUUAGAAAAGAACCAUGUCACAGCCACUAUGGAUAGGAGAAAUUAUUAUAAGCAACAUUAACCUUCAAUAUACAUAUUGCCAUGGAAGUGAUGCAUAAAUACAGACAGAGACACAAACAGGCAAUAUAGACAGACAGAAGUAAGAGGGUAAUAAUGAACAUACCAUUUAUGAG